AAACUAACCAGGAUUCCCCCAGUAACGGCGAGUGAAGCGGGAAGAGCUCACGUUGUAAAUCUGCCUUCGGGCCGAAUUGUAGUCUGGAGAGGCGAGACCAGCCGUGGCCGGGGGCGAAGUCUCUUGGAAAAGAGCAUCAAGGAGGGUGACAAUCCCGUUCUUGCCCCCACGCCGCGCGCGUACGGUCCGUUUUCUAAGAGUCGAGUUGCUUGGGAUUGCAGCUCAAAGCGGGUGGUAAAUUCCAUCUAAAGCUAAACACGGGUGGGAGACCGAUAGCGAACAAGUACCGUGAGGGAAAGAUGCAAAGAACUUUGAAAAGAGAGUUAAAGAGUGCCUGAAAUUGCUGAAAGGGAAGCGAAGGAAACCAGUGUCUGGCGUCGAAGCUUUCCCUCCGCCCUUCGGGGCUCUGGGUCGCGUCUUCGCCGUGGCCAGGGUCGGGUAUGGUUGCGGGAGCCUGCGUCGUGGAAGGUAGCUUCUCCUCGGAGGGUGAAUACCGCGGCGUGUCGUCGCGACUGUGGCCGGCUCUGACGAAAUGGUUUUCUUUAC
rnacentral:rRNA from 1 species